CUGUUGGCGGGGUAAGGGUGAAAAGGUGGGGUAAGAGCCCACCGCGGCGCUGGCAACAGCUCCGGCAUGGUAAACCCCACCGGGAGCAAGACCGAAUAGGGAUGGCCCGCAGGCGCUUUCGGGCGUCGGCAGGCGGGUUCUGCGCCGCUAUCCGGGUUGGUCGCGCGAGGCGUCCGGUAACGGGCGUCCCAGAUGAAUGGCCAUCUCCCGCCACCGCGAGCAAUCGCCGGCGGGGACAGAACCCGGCUUACAGACCGCCUGACCCC
rnacentral:RNase_P_RNA from 1 species